rfam:Sorangium cellulosum 'So ce 56' complete genome
GGGGGCGAUCGGCUUCGACGUGGGGACUGAAGGUCUGUCUGCGUGCUGGCGGCUCCUGCUCCGCCUAUCAAGCGGGACGUUACAAGUGCGAACGACAACGCAUACGCUGUCGCGGCCUAAUAACCGCUAAGCCAUCCGAGGAGAAGGUCGUCCUAGUACUCUAAGGGUGUCAACCACAGGGCUGGGUCGCGUGAGGACGCCCUCGAUAACGCGGCCGAGAUUCAGUGAGGGAUAGGUCGUAGCCGAAUCUACGAACGCCGUCGCCGGCGCAUGGCGACUACGCACGUGAACGAAGGUAGACUGGAUGCCUUGCGGACCCGGGUUCGAUUCCCGGCGCCUCCACCA